UUAAAGUAGUUCGGCUAAAUUUUUAUUGACAACAGUGAAAAACUGGCUUCUACCAGAGUUAAAAGUGAACACAAAAAUAAGCUAAAAAUCGCCGGUUGACUUGUUCUUAGUUUUUCUUUUAAACUAAUUUUAAGUGCAAAUGAUUUUUUAUGAAGACAUGUUGAAAACGAAGUUUCAAGAUUAGCAAACGUUUGGUAUCUCAGAUAUACGUAUAUAUAUGUUUGGCAAGAUAUCAAAAAGUUUUUUGACUUAGAGUCCAAAUUAAUGUAAUAUCGAAACAUCUAUGCAUACACACAAGACUCAAAAACAUCCUCUAAAUAAGGGUAAAAAUACAUAAAAUAAUUGAAACACGUCUAUAAGGGGAUGGAAAUUACUCUUAUACAAUAUCAAACUGUUUGUAUCUAUUAUAACUCCAGUAAUUGGAAACAAAUCCUGAACUCCUUAAGUUUUAUGAAUAUAAAUAAAGCAUAAACAUGUUACGACUUCGGUUACAAAGUAAAAAAAUUACCCGUGUAUUGAAUUAUAAAUUUGAGUCAUUGAUGUAGGUACCAUAACUUGCAUUUUGAUAGCAGUUUGUCUGGAUCUGGAAUGAUAACAAAUAUUCCCACAUUUUUUUUUAUAUAGAUACUUAUGGAAAGAUAAAAAUGCGGUGAAAACUUAACGUUUACAAUAGUCAACGACGUAUUGAAUAUAUGUCAGGUUUUGAUAUUUGUAUUUCAUUGUACUGUAUUUACCUGAGGUACCAUACGGUCAGCUAUGUGAUUCCAACAUGAUUAUCUUACCCCAUCAAAGUUAAACGUUUUUAUGUGGAAUUUUGGAAUAAAAGUGUUCUAUUUAUGAUAGAAUAUAUGUAAUAUGUAUAUAGGAGGAGAAUACACGGACCCGAACGAUUUUCGAAAAGGGAAGGGAAAAGCAAUUUAUCUUUAUGAAAUUCCUCAUUUUCUUGGUCCGUUCGGACAACAAAAAGGCGACUCUGACAAUAUCACGGGUGCGAGAGAGAGAUAGAGGUCAUCGCGGAGGCAAAGAUCUUGAUACUGUAACAUUUCUCCAAAUAGAUAGACGCAAGAAAUGUCUACCGCUUGAAGAAGCCACAGCGUGAUGAAAUAAUUAUUGUGGAAUCAAUAAAUAACUCGUUUCCGUUAUUGCGAUGGAGUUUCAAGAACUAAAAGCCUGUAUUCACACAAUGGAGUGAAAUCGAAAUAUGUGAACCAACAACCGAUAUCACCAGAAGAAACGAAAAAUGAAACAACAAACUUUAUAGUUAAAGGUCGCCGGGAAUAAUGAGAAGGAAAAAGAAAUUAAGAAUGAAGUAAAUGGGUUAGAAAUUAUUAAAAGACGAUGGAAAAGAUAAAAAAUGAACGACGAUAUAUGAAGAAAAUAAAGGAAAAUGUCUAAUGUCUGAUAAAGCAGAAAUAUUGGUUUACAUUAUCCUUUUAACACCAAAAAGAUUUUGAGCUCGUACUUUUUAUUGAAGUUACUAAGAAUUAUGGAGACCUGAAACAUAAACAAAAGUAAUAAAUUAUCAUUUGAGAUGA